rnacentral:lncRNA from 1 species
UUAAUUUUACGUUUUUAAGUCAGUUUCAAGUGUUUUAGCAAUCCCUCCUAAUCCCCGGCCUAGAACAAUCCCUACUUACAUUCUUUACUACAAUUGACAACAAGAGGGUUUAAUUUGUGUGUUAAGAUAAUUUUCGCAUCACUUCACCUACAAAAGCUUCACACUAUCUUGAUCAAGAUAGUGUGAAGCAAAAUCAAUUCAUGGUGCCCAACAAAGCUUGACCCACAAAAGCUUGACCCAUAAAAGCUUUACCCACAAAAGCUUCACCCACAAAAGCUUCACCUACAAAACUUCAACACAAAAGUUUCACCUACGAAAACUUCACACUAUCUUGAUAAAGAUAGUGUGAAGCAAAAUCAAUUCAUGGUGCCCAACAAAGCUUCAACCUCAAAGCUUCACCUACAAAGCUUCAACACUAAAGCUUCACCUACAAAGCUUCAACACCAAAGUUUUACCUACAAAGCUUUAAAAUAUAUAUAUAUAUAUAUUUUCGGAAAAUCGAAAAUUCAAAAAUUUGAAAAUUCAAAAAAAAAAAAAUUGCCUAGGCCUCCUCUUCUUUGGGCCUAACAACUUUCAUAACAAAUAUAUAUGAAGAAUGAGUUUUGGACUACCACUUAGAAAGGAAAUGCCUCAUUCGUCAACUCCCUCGACCGGAGACUUGGGGGACUCCUACCAUAUGCUACUACACCUUGAUACUCGGAAGUCUCACGACCACUCAGUGACUUGGAUUUUUCAAGUCUCCAAACCAGAAGUUUUCCUCACUCGGGAAAGUAAGGAAGCACUACCUCAACCUACAUGCUUCACUCACAAAGCUUCAGCAUACAAGCUUCAACAAAAGGAAAAAUUCAAAAAACUUAGUGAAGAAGGCCUUAUUGUAUUUAACACAAUACGUUGAAAUGAAGUAAAGCUUGUUUAUUGAUAUCUCCGAUAAGUUACAAAUAUGUACAUAUACAUGAAUCAAAAUAAACAAACAAGAGGGAGCCUUCACAAAGGUUGCUCAGGAGAAGUCUUAGCAGUCGGCAGAGCCCCAGAUCGAGGAGGCACCAGAGGGUGAUUAUUUAGAGCCUCAGUACUAGGCAGAACCCCAGAAGGAGGAGGCACCGAAGGUUGAUCAUUUGGAGCUUCAUUACGCGGUACAUCCCCAGAAGACGAAGGCAAUAAAUGCCUUUGGAACAAACCCACAAACCUCUGAUGAUCAAGUAAAAUCUGA